CCUACGGGAGGCAGCAGUGGGGAAUAUUGGGCAAUGGGCGCAAGCCUGACCCAGCAACGCCGCGUGAAGGAAGAAGGCUUUCGGGUUGUAAACUUCUUUUCUCAGGGACGAAGCAAGUGACGGUACCUGAGGAAUAAGCCACGGCUAACUACGUGCCAGCAGCCGCGGUAAUACGUAGGUGGCAAGCGUUAGCCGGAUUUACUGGGUGUAAGGGGCGUGUAGGCGGGAAAGCAAGUCAGAUGUGAAAUCUGGAGGCUCAACCUCAAAAUUGCAUUUGAAACUGUCUUUCUUGAGUACUGGAGAGGUAGACGGAAUUCGUGGUGUAGCGGUGAAAUGCGUAGAUAUAAGGAGGAACACCAGUGGCGAAGGCGGUUUGCUGGACAGCAACUGACGGUGAGGCGCGAAAGCGUGGGGAGCAAACAGGAUUAGAUACCCUUGUAGUC
rnacentral:rRNA from 1 species